GUUUGUUCAGUACUUUUGGUUUAAGUAUUUUCCAUCUCAAUUCAGAAUUCCUCAACACCCGUGUUUCAUCAGUCUUGAUAUUCACUUUGAUUCCAUCCUUCUUCAGAAUUUGCUGUAUUAAUUAAUCGAUGGGCUCAAAAAUCAUUUUACGAGUUAACUCAAAGUCUAGCUACGUUCAUGAUGGCCGUUUGAUGGUAGUGUAGAUAAAAACAAACGUACAGCUGCAUCAUGUGAAACACAACCCAGGCAAUUUACGAUCUAUUCAACUACAAUGUCCUGAAAUACAAGUCUCAAGUCAACACUGACUAUUUUGAUAUUAGACAAAGGACAGAUCCUUACCCAGGGAUUCCACUGCACGCAGAUCCACUCUGCUCAGCUCUGGAAUGGCAGGCGGAUCAAAUACGGAAGCAUACAGCCCCCACUGGAUCUGAUUCGCUGCAGCAAGCGGAGGAGAAGCACUUGAGAUAUUACCGAUAUUUCUCACGAGACUGGACGAUAUCUCACAUGUUUUGAAUGAUAAUGAAUGAGAUCGGAAGUGUACAUAAACACCCACAUCCCACAACCCUGGCCCCUCCCAUUAUCACGUGAAGAACAGUUCAACUUAUUGACUUUAUUUUAUUCUGAAAAUUAAGCGGAUAUUUCACUCUGUCACUGCAUACAACUGAAUUAAUGCGCUGUGCUGCGGCAUCCGGCAAAAAUAGAAGCCAUGUGUAUCUGAUCCAGCCGCCGGAGCAGAUCCGCAGAGUAGCUGGACAGCGGAUGGACUGUGCAGAAUCACGCACAUUGAUUAUAAUGCUUGCGUAUUUGAUCAGGCUGCUGUUCCAGAGCGGAGCGCAAAAAAAGAGAAUUCAGAACUGUAUUUGGACCCAAGAGCUCCAACAGUGGCCCUCAUUAAGGAGAAAACAGCAGCUGUUAUGAGCUGUGAGUUAAAGCAGGUAGAAUAAAACUCAAAUUAAUUUCUUUUUGAUUAGUCUCUGGCAUGCACAGAUUAUUAAAAAAGGACAAACGCUCAUAUUCAACCUUUAAUUGCAGCCAUUACUCUGAGUGCCAAGUAGGCAAAAUACGUGAAAACCCUGAUUACGGGGGCUGGGAAAUGAUUGCGUUGCAGUCAACUCGAAAUGAUGAACAUUAGAAAGAUGAGAGAGGAGGGACUGUUUUUGUCCUCAGAGGAACAGGUGGGAACAUUAACUGCAGUUGGCAGGUUGCGCUAACAAGCUGCAGGGCUUUCUGGGAUGUGUGUGUCUGCACUGUGGCUAAUUAAUCACAGAGUACUGACACAGUUAAAACGAAGCAAAUGACUGCGCUUCUCCAGGAACACAGAAAUAAAUGGGUGUGAGCUCCGUAAUUGAUUCCUCAUUUCCACAGACUUCAAAAGCGAGCGAGAGUCUUAAUCAGAUUAAAGUUCUGGAUGAUUCCAAAUUUAUCAGCCAAAUUAAAGUGUUAUAUUUACUUCGAGGAGGAGCACAGAUUCUCCUCUUGACAAUGUGGGAAUAUAAUGACCUUAUGCUAAUAAUACCCAUAAAAAAACGACAGAUAAUAAACUCCCCUCCAGGGUUUUGGAGAUGCUGUUUCGGGUUAGAGUUUCUUUCAUGUCUGUGCGUUUGUUUUAAUCAAAGUAAGCAAACUUUUAGAAAGUGAAAUUCUCAUGCCGAUACGUUAAAACUGUUACAUAAAACCUCCAGGAGAAGAUGGCCUCAUAUCACUUAUUGAACUCUCCUAUUAUUACUCGGUUAAUAUCACUUUAAUGUCCGCCGUCUGACAUUCAUUCAGAGUAUUUAGCGAACAGAGAUCUGAGGCUAAACAAAAGCUGAGGGGAUUGAAUGUCAGAGUUAGUCUUGGGUGUAUGGAGCAGAUGUCACAAGUGCGUGCUUUUAUUUAAAGAUUUUGUAAAAGCUGUAGAUCUCUUGCAUGAUAAAGCUUUCAGUGUUUAUGCAAUCUUUAAUAUCCAGCCGCUUUGUUUAUAGCGAUAGGGAUUCAAUUACGUCCCUCCUGCUGGAGCUGGACUACAAUCAGCGUCCGGUUGUUCCGUCUUUAUUUGUCAGGAAUCCCGCUGGGGGCCUGGCCUACAUGAAUCCACAUUAUCAUCCUUAUUAUACAGAAAAUCUUUUUGCAUUUCGCUUGAGAAAAUUUUCAGGCUUCAAGGGCAUGAUUAAUGAUUAAGAGGAAAAACUUCUCAUCUUUAAAGCUCUCCGAGACAUCAAAGCUGUUCAGCUUAUUGUUAAACUUAGCCGUGCUUUAGGACAUGAACCAACACUUAAACUGUAUUAAAGAGAGUUUUUCCUCCAAUGAGGGGGAUAAAGAGCGCUGGCAAGUGAAGUGUAAGCUGUCACAACUGUAAUUCUCUUUACAAUAUGUUUGUAUAUUCACCCAGGUCCUAAUGGACUUCAAUAUUGAAUUGAGGGUUUAAAUGUUUACCGCCACAUAUACAGUAUCCUCUCAGAUUCUCCCUCCUGGAUGUUAAAGUGUCAUAAAACGUGAUAAAUGUAAAAACUGUGAAUCAAACAAAAAAAAAAGAGAACUUCUCUGUUUUCAUCUACAAAGUUGACCAAGUGGAGUUUAGUCAUCGACAAAAGCACAACAUCAGAUUCGCAAACUUAGUCCAUAUGGGUCACCACAACAACACAGUGAUAUUUCAUCUAGCAGAGGAUAAAUGGGAGAGUGUGAAUGGGUUCGAAUUUCAAACAAGUCCCUAUUUGUCUCUACCAGCUGUUUGGCCAUCGCUCCUGCAGUGAGUAUAACACACAGUUCCCAUAGUUGCAAAAGAAAACAAGUCCACAGUUGACCCAGAAAGCUCAAUCGUGUUCAUUUGCAGAUCAGGUUUUCUGAAAGUCAGUGGAGUUACCCAGAGUGCAUUUAUCUUUGACUCGCUCAGACUCUCUGGAGACAAAGCUGGACACUUUUGAGGUACCUGGGUACAGAUGCUUUGACUCCACCCACAGAAAACUUUCAGCUCUGGGAUCAUUUGUGUCAUUUUUAAUUGCAAUAUUUAAAAAAAGAAAGAAAUUGAAAAUGAAUUGAGCUAAAACUGGCCUAAUGAAUUCUUCUCUUGAUUCCUGCAACUACCCACCCCGAGCCUCUUGGACUGUGUUUGAACAUCAUGGCUGACCUGGACUCGGUUGUUCACCGAUGGCCUUUGGGGUUUGAGGAACUGCGAACCUCCUGAACUCUUGGAACCCUAAUUUUAUUUCUUGUUCUCUUGUUUGUCUUAAACACAGAAAGUUGGUUGUUUCCCAAACCCACGGUAAGUAACAACAGGCUCCCAUAAAGUGUUUCUCUUGUAUCCACAUGGUGCCCACAAGCAUCCGCACUCACGCUGGAAUGUGUUUUUAAUCCAAAACUAAGAGUCAAACGAGGGUCUUUGUCUGAUAAAAUCUGACAGUAAUGAUGAUGGUUUGACGUUGGCCUGAAGGUCAACAAUGGUAAGACUAAGACCCAAAGUUUAGAGGUUCAAAUCCUUCAAGCAACUGAGCGAAGAGUGGGCAGAAGAUUAAUCUGGCACCCCUGAAGGAGAACAACUUUAGUGGGGGGCCAGUUUGGUAGUUUUGACCAUCUACCAAGCACAAAUCUGUUUUAAUACUACAGUCCAAGUUCGGGUGUCUAGUGAUUGGGAUCCAAAGGUUCAGGUUCAUCCAAGUUCGCCAGAGUCAAAACUUCAGAUCUCAUUGUCUGGGUUUAUUCUUGAGAAUGACAGACAUUACAGUGAAAUAUAACCAAAAAUAUAAGACCCCCAUGUUUAAAGGAUGACCCCCCUUUUCAAGACUUAUCCAUAGGAAGAGUUUCUGGAGACCAAGCCUGGUUACAGAAAUACAUUUCCAUCAAUACUUAUAAUGGAAAAACAUUGAAGAGUGGUUGAUGCAACCAUAGACAUCACAUUCGUUAACAAGUCGGACAUAUUGCUGAGGGCAUGUUCACAAAUACAAGCGGAUAUGGAAACUGGGUUUUCUGAAUAAAAGCACUCAUUUAAAUUUCCAUCUAGACUUUGUCUGUCUACUGUGGAAACAAGAAUUGUCAGUCCAGUCACUGAGAUACUCCUGACUGCUUUUAGAUAUCAUGAAAAAGGCAUUGAUAUUAAUUUCAGUCUAUUUUACACUCCUCAAAGAUGCUCUAAUAUGUCGCAUGGUUUUGACUAUUUUUUCUAUGUUUUUAUUGCAUAUGUUUUAAGUUGUUCUUACCAGUUUUUUAGCUUAUCUAUUUAUUAUAAUUUUUUUCAGCUGGUCCUGGGAAACCAUUUUUAUGGUUUUGAAUAUUUCUUAUACUCGAUGACAGAAAAUUAUACACUUACAGUCUUAAUUACAGCCUUUUUAAUUGCAUACAAUAACAUGUCAUGGUUUAAAGAUUUAUCACAGGCAGUUGGGUGCUAUUAUUGGUUAGAUUUGACAGAUGACUAAGGUAAAUCAAAUGUAGGCAUGAUUUUUCAAACCAAGACUUCACAGUAGCUUUGCCUAGCAGCUCUGAGGCGUCCUGGUGUUUUUACACUCUGUUUCUGUAACGGUAAGGUGGUAAACACUGUAGAGACACUGUAGAAACUCAUAUACACGUUAGUUGCACGCUUGUGAGAGACUCUGCCAACGCUGAUAUGUCCAAAUCAGACUGGUGUGGUCAUUCAGCAGUGAGGAGGCAUGUUUCUACAUACAUGUGAAUGUGCAUCUUUGGCUCAAUGUAUGACCCAGCUCGUCAUUCCUACUACAUUUUGCACACAUGCACAAAUUUAAGAUGACUACUCUCUAAUCCAAAGAACAAACGUAUCGAGGUCACUGAGGAUUUUGGGUGACUAUCGUUAACUUUUUUUUCACAUGAGCUCCAAAUAAAUCAUUUUAAUAUUGAGCAGGUUUAAUGAGAUGGAAAAUAAAGGCCAAAAAAUAGAGAGAGAGAUAAAUGAAAUGUCCGGACAAUUAUCCACAACUGUGUAAACACCUUCCUGCAUCAUCAGAUGGCUACAUGUUCAUUAUAGUGAAAAUACUCUGGCACUUAUUUUCACAGAUGACUGAGCUCGUCAUGGAAACGCCUUUCAGUCCAUUCAGCCUCUUCAGGCCGCACAAAGCGCCGUCUCCUCUCAAUAACUUUGAACUCGCCUCAAAACAACUUUGAAACGCUGGUUCUCACACACGACAACCCCAGAGGUGGAAUUUGUGAAUCGAGCUAUAGAUUCACGACCCCCAACCCCAAACCCCCCACCCCCGGAAGAAAGCGCUAAUUAGCUCAGAUGUCCGGGCAAAUCCACACCCCAGUGCACCCUGGGAGAUGAGAAAACAAGAUGUUGUUGUUGUUAAAAAUCAUAGAGGAGGGAUGUAAAGAUUUACGUCCAAUUUGGUGCGAAAGCGAGGGUACCUCCGUUAAAUUAAUUUACCUCAGUCUGGUCGUCAAAGAACAUUUUACCUCGUGCACAUGAAACAACAGCUGAGCAGUUUGAUAAUCAUAAACUCAUAACACCUUUUGAGGAAAAUAAGGGAUUCCCUGGGCCCUGGCAGAGGAGAUGAAGCCAUGCGGAAGCCUCUGUUUCUGGACUGGAUCCGACACAGCGACCACUCCACAGUUGAUUUUGAUUGCACUGAUCAAAAGAAGCCCCCGUGUCUCGAUAUUUCACCAGAGGCAAGGAACACAGGACUUCAAAGACCUCCGCACUAAUCCCAUUUGGAUUAUUUAAUUAAGGACUCAGGAGUGCUGGAGACAAAACAAGAGCAUGGUUGUCACAUCGUUGAGUGACCUGUGGGGAAGGAUGCAGGUGCACGCCGGAAAUCACCAGCCUAACACUUCAGACUGCAUCAUAGUUGGCGUGCACUCCCCCCUUUAUGAAAAUGUUUGUGUUUACUGUGCAUGAAAUGCUGCUGCACAGUUAUAGAUUCUGGCAACGGCCUGCUCUUCCCAUUUGUUUCGGUUCAUUGCAGGGGUUUCUCUUUGUUCAUUUAAUUGUCAUUCCAGGAACAUUCCCCAGCUUAGUUUAGAUUGGUUCAUGAUGGUAUAAAAUAGUGGAAAACCAGAGAAGAUAUGAUCGUAACCGGGCUGCAGCCACAUUUUAUGUUAGAUGUGGAAGUGAUCUCAAGCUGGGCUGUUAUUAGCCCUGGCCCUGGGGAAACAGCUCCUUAAGUUUACCAUGUUUGGGUCAAAAUGUUGGAUUGCUUGGCAGGAUACAGCGAAUUCUAUGUGUGUGAAUGAGGUGUAUGCACUUUUAAAUUGAUGGUGGUUUCAUCAGAUCUUGUAUGAAAUUGUGCAAAUCAUCCGAAAAGAGACGGGAUUAUAGUCGUUUGGAUACUUCUCUUUAGACCAGCCCCCUUCUCAUAGUCCCACAAACCAAGGAUGCAGUGGUGGUUUGAUUGGCCCAUCUAAGCAGUCAUUGUGCCUCAUUUUAAAGGUGCAGUGUGUAGCUUUAUUUUGGACAAACAAGUUAGGCUUGUGCACAUUUUUGUAGUUAAAGGGUGGCCACAAAAACAGGCACUGGUGGAAGAAGAAGAGAGAGGGUGAUGUGCCUAAAAGUGUUAUCACAUCACAGGAGCUUACUGUCCUUACAGGCCACUAUUGCCUUUGAAAAAAGCUUAACAUCAUGUUAACUAACCAACAAUAAAUAUACAGUCCUGUGUAAGAGUCUUAACUUUCAACAUGAAGGUUAUUGGCCUCAGUCGAAGCGCUGUUUUUAUUAAAAUACAGUUUUUUUCUGAAUCUUGUUCUUAUGUGACCCAUUUAAACCGGGACAGCAUGUACGCAUUUCAACCCCUUGAGCCGGGAGUGCAGAUACAUCAUUUUGUAACAUUCUGUAGUUUUUCAAUCAUUUCUGGCGAAUCAUGGCGUGGCGAAUAAAAUCAUCAUACCCGUCUGCCUCUGAUAGGCUAAUAAAAUGUAGUAAAGCGAUCAGAUUCAUGCUCAGAUCUUGCUACGUGCUUCAGUACGCAAGGUGUGCCGAGGUUUAUUUUGAAGGAAUACCGGAAGUUGUUGUUGUGACGGGGUCUGAGUUGAUAAGUGAAAGAGUGUGAGAAAUAAAGCAGAGUGGAUGCUGCUGCCGUCACACGAAAAGACUGCAGUUUGUAUUUCUCUUUAUUUUAAUCCUUAGCCAGUAUAAGCGCCCUCACACUCAGCUACACAAUGACAGAGGCAGAGAGCAGCUUCGGAGAAGAAGCAUCCAGUAACAGGAUGGCACCUCCACCAUACAGGCUCUCUUAUUCAACUGUUACUCUGAGGCGUAUCCGUACGAUACGAAACGUUGUCUCGUCUGUUAGUAUCGCCUGUAGAUAGGGUCAUGUCCUUACACCAAGCUGGCUACAUCAAAAAACGGUUACAAACAACUGCACCAACACGAAUGAUAUCACUGCAGGUGCACGAUGUAGACAAGGACGUCUUCUGAUCAACGUUAAGAAAAACAACAGCUGCUUUACCUAGCUUCUGAGGGUUCACAGUGGAACGGAGCAAAAUCUCCGUCUACCAGAUGGAAAAAGUGUUAACAUGAACCAUGAUGUCAGGCUGUAUGAACAAGAAACAAACGGUGAUUUCAUUCCGCUCUGAUUAUCAGGCCGCUGAUUACAUUCUUCUGCAAAAGGAAGUUCAGUUCAGGCGAUAGGAUAACCGCCGGAUGUAGUGCAAGUAGGAUACAUUCAAAACACGUGUUAUUGCUAAUGUGGAUUUGAAUAGGAUAAAGAUGUUUUAUACCCCAGAAUGUUGUCUGUACUGGGUUACCUCAAGAGCUAAAGAUGCUCAACUGCUGAUAGAGUUUAUCACAUAUAAACUCAAGACUUACUUUAUAUAAAAGUGUGAACGUCUCAUAUUUAAGGUCAAAAUGAUAGAUAGGAUUGACUUUUAUACAUGACAUAAUACUGUUGAUAUCAGCUCCAAAGAUAGAAAGGUAGGACACAGUGGCUACCUGUAAAAUCCACUCGCUCUGUGAGACCGGUAACUCCAGUAGUUUCUGCAACAUCCGGGAACUUUUGUCACUGAAUGUUUAUUAUUUUUCCAAACUCAUGAAUUAAAGGGAUAUUAAAGUAGUUUUGAAGAGGGUUCACAUGAGUUGCAUGUCCUUAAGUGGUUAUAAUAGAUGCUGGUGCCAGGAGAGGACUUGUACAGAGGUUAGGCUACAGUUUUCUGUAGACAGAGCUGAGUCUAUCCAGCACUUUCACUCAUCUCAGUUUAAGCUUGCACUCUGAAUUUGCCCAACUAUAAUGGGGUCAAUCCUGGUGCUUUUAGACAGUGUUGCAACCACGAAAUUAGGCCUUGAAAGGCCCAGCAAUGGACCCAUUGUUUACAGCCUGUUUCAUGUAGCAGAAAGUCCUAAAACUCAAAGUUUUCGAUGAUUCAAAAGCACCAAAUGCACCCAUAACUGCAACCCAAGAAAGAAAAAGUGGUAAUUAUAAGAGCAGCCAUUCAUUUCCUCUCAAUCAAAUUCAAAGAAUCAACAAUUUCUCCAACUCUAAUCUUUGCACAGCAGCAGAAAAGUGGGCGUAACUCACAGUGAGUGACUGCAGUUGUUAAUGUGCCAUCAUAUUGGAUCUAACAUGGCAGGAUAUUCAGAUUAACGCCUUGUCUGUAGCUGUGUCACACUCUAACCAAUCAUCUAAUUCCAGUCUGUUGAAAUAGUGAGAAUUCAGACCAGAUUUGGGAGGAAAAUCCAGUCGAGUGUAACUUUUUCUUUUCAUUUAGUUUUAUAUGGUUUGGCACAAAAUGAAACAAACUUGGGUAUAAUGAGCCGCAAAGGGCCCAAUCAAGUUUAUAUAAGCACCAGCUCAGGUUAAGGAACAUGUCAUGUCAAAAUGGACUGCUUUCAGAUGCUGGAGUAACUGUGGUAGCGUUUGAUGUCCUGGGUUCCUUACAAGCUGACAAAACACAGGGUGUAAAAGGCCUGUGAAAUACUGAAGAUGUCUUUCCUCAAAGCGAGCAGCAUGUGGUGUCACAGUAAUUAAGUUAUUAGCUCUGUAGUUGAAUGUCCAUCCUCGGUGCAAGCUGUUGCGAGGCAGAAUUUAUGGCUCAAAUUAGAUCCACAGCUUAUUACAGCUUCAGUGGUAUGGAGCUAAUUCUUCAUGGCGAGUCAGAAAUCUUCUGGACAAGUGUAUUUGUCCAUAUGGAGCUGUUUAAGGCUGAAAUGUGUUCCUCACAAAGCGCAGCGCUGGAGGAGUUAUGAAUUAGUCUGUGACAUGCAAACAGGUGCAAACGUCCAGAAAUACACAGCGGCUAAAGCUAAUGUUUACCCGGGGUGAGUCACAGCAGGCGUAAUGAUUAUCAUUCCACACCCUGUCCAAGAUUCCUCAAACAAUGUUAGCAGCAUUACCAAUCACAGUCUCAUGCCUUCAGUGUUGAUAUACAAUCAGGUUGAUGGACUGCAUCAAGAUGUGUUGAUCUCACAGGAAGAGUCGGAAAGAAGGUGGAGGGGCCGGGGUCGAGAGGGGGACCAAAAUCUGGACAUUUUGUCAAAGAUUCAGGGUUGUUGUUGUUGUUUUUUCACUCAUCCUGGUGAAUGCUAACUGGAAUUUCAAUGUUGAUUGUUGGUUGAAAACAUGGAGGCUAAUGCUGCUUUACAGUUGGGAUUUCCAAGCUGAGUCGGAAAUUCAUCUGGAACGCCCUUAGGUCGGAUUUCCAACUCAAAAAGUCGGAUGGUCCUCACUAACCCCGACUUAACGACAACAUCAUAAUCCAAGGUGGCAGCACAGUACAUUGACAGUAAAGCGUAACAGUGAAAUCUCUCAUAAUGUGUUAAUUAUCAGAACUUCUGUUUUGUUUUUGUGAAAUUCAAUAAGUGGUAUAUGUUGUACUGUCCAAGGUCUAACUGUGAACA